UACGUAGGGUGCGAGCGUUAAUCGGAAUUACUGGGCGUAAAGAGUGCGCAGGCGGCCGAGCAAGUCGAGUGUGAAAGCCCCGGGCUUAACUUGGGAAUUGCGCUCGAAACUACUUGGCUGGAGUGUGGCAGAGGAAGGUGGAAUUCCAGGUGUAGCGGUGAAAUGCGUAGAGAUCUGGAGGAACACCGAUGGCGAAGGCAGCCUUCUGGGCCAACACUGACGCUCAUGCACGAAAGCGUGGGGAGCAAACAGG
rnacentral:rRNA from 1 species